rnacentral:rRNA from 1 species
AGGUUUUUCUUAAGCGACGACGGGUAGCCGGCCUGAGAGGGCGACCGGCCACACUGGGACUGAGACACGGCCCAGACUCCUACGGGAGGCAGCAGUGGGGAAUAUUGCACAAUGGGCGGAAGCCUGAUGCAGCGACGCCGCGUGAGGGAUGACGGCCUUCGGGUUGUAAACCUCUUUCAGCAGGGACGAAGCGUAAGUGACGGUACCUGCAGAAGAAGCGCCGGCCAACUACGUGCCAGCAGCCGCGGUAAGACGUAGGGCGCGAGCGUUGUCCGGAUUUAUUGGGCGUAAAGAGCUCGUAGGCGGCUUGUCGCGUCGACCGUGAAAACUUGGGGCUCAACCCCAAGCCUGCGGUCGAUACGGGCAGGCUAGAGUUCGGUAGGGGAGACUGGAAUUCCUGGUGUAGCGGUGAAAUGCGCAGAUAUCAGGAGGAACACCGGUGGCGAAGGCGGGUCUCUGGGCCGAUACUGACGCUGAGGAGCGAAAGCGUGGGGAGCGAACAGGAUUAGAUACCCUGGUAGUCCACGCUGUAAACGUUGGGCGCUAGGUGUGGGGGGCCUCUCCGGUUCCCUGUGCCGCAGCUAACGCAUUAAGCGCCCCGCCUGGGGGGAGUACGGAC